CCUACGGGUGGCUGCAGUGGGGAAUAUUGCACAAUGGGCGCAAGCCUGAUGCAGCCAUGCCGCGUGUGUGAAGAAGGCCUUCGGGUUGUAAAGCACUUUCAGCGGGGAGGAAGGCGGUGAGGUGUAUCACCUCAUCGCUUGACGCUACCCGCAGAAGAAGCACCGGCUAACUCCGUGCCAGCAGCCGCGGUAAUACGUAGGGUGCAAGCGUUAAUCGGAAUUACUGGGCGUAAAGCGCACGCAGGCGGUCUGUCAAGUCGGAUGUGAAAGCCCCGGGCUCAACCGGGGAACUGCAUUCGAAACUGGCAGGCUAGAGUCUUGUAGAGGGGGGUAGAAUUCCAGGUGUAGCGGUGAAAUGCGUAGAGAUCUGGAGGAAUACCGGUGGCGAAGGCGGCCCCCUGGACAAAGACUGACGCUCAGGUGCGAAAGCGUGGGGAGCAAACAGGAUUAGAUACCCCGGUAGUC
rnacentral:rRNA from 1 species